AUUGAACGCUGGCGGCAGGCCUAACACAUGCAAGUCGAGCGAGCGGCGGACGGGUGAGUAAUGUCUGGGAAACUGCCUGAUGGAGGGGGAUAACUACUGGAAACGGUAGCUAAUACCGCAUAACAUCAGAUGUGCCAAGAUGGGAUGAGCUAGUAGGUGGGGUAACGGCUCACCUAGGCGACGAUCCCUAGCUGGUCUGAGAGGAUGACCAGCCACACUGGAACAGAAACACGGUCCAGACUCCUACGGGAGUCAGCAGAGGGGAUUAUUGGACAAGGGGCGCAAGCCUAAUGCAGCCAUGCCGCGUGUAGGAAGGAGGCUUUCGGGUUUUAAAGUACUUUCAGCGGGGAGGCGUUACCCGCAGAAGAAGCACCGGCUAACUCCGUGCCAGCCGCCGCGGUAAUUC
rnacentral:rRNA from 1 species